rnacentral:rRNA from 1 species
UACAGAGGUCUCAAGCGUUGUUCGGAUUCAUUGGGCGUAAAGGGCGCGUAGGCGGCAAGGCAAGUCGGGUGUGAAAGCUUGGGGCUUAACCCCGAAAGGGCACUCGAAACUGCCCUGCUAGAGGGCCGGAGAGGAGAUCGGAAUUCACGGUGUAGCAGUGAAAUGCGUAGAGAUCGGAAAGAACACCAACGGCGAAAGCACUCUGCUGGGCCGACACUGACACUGAGAGACGAAAGCUAGGGGAGCGAAUGGG